rnacentral:rRNA from 1 species
UGGGUGAGUAACGCGUGGGUAACCUGCCCUUAAGUCUGGGAUACCAUUUGGAAACAGAUGCUAAUACCGGAUAAAAGCUACUUUCGCAUGAAAGAAGUUUAAAAGGCGGCGUAAGCUGUCGCUAAAGGAUGGACCUGCGAUGCAUUAGCUAGUUGGUAAGGUAACGGCUUACCAAGGCGAUGAUGCAUAUCCGAGUUGAGAGACUGAUCGGCCACAUUGGGACUGAGACACGGCCCAAACUCCUACGGGAGGCAGCAGGU